rnacentral:rRNA from 1 species
AGCAGCCGCGGUAAUUCCAGCUCCAAUAGCGUAUAUUAAAGUUGUUGCAGUUAAAAAGCUCGUAGUUGAAUUUCGGAAUCUGUCCGUCGGUCGGGCUUCACUGUCCGUACUGGCGUGAUGGGUUUCUACCUUCUGAAUAACCGGCAUGUCAUUAAUUUGGUGCGCCGGGGAAGCAGAACUAUUACCUUGAAAAAAUUAGAGUGCUUAAAGCAGGCUAUCGCCUGAAUAGAUUAGCAUGGAAUAAUAAAAUAGGACGGCAUGGUUCUAUUUUGUUGGUUUCUAGGAUCACCGUAAUGAUUAAUAGGGAUAGUUGGGGGCAUUAGUAUUCAAUUGUCAGAGGUGAGAUUCUUGGAUUUAUUGAAGACUAACUUCUGCGAAAGCAUUUGCCAAGGAUGUUUUCAUUAAUCAAGAACGAAAGUUAGGGGAUCGAAGACGAUCAGAUACCGUCGUAGUCUUAACCAUAAACUAUGCCGACUAGGGAUCGGACGAUGUUAAUUUUUUAAUGACUCGUUCGGCGCCU